ACACAGCACACGUUGUCUCUGAAAAGAAGAGGAUGGACCAGCCUAAGAAGGAUGAGGGCAGAUACCUGCGGUUUCUGGGCUAAGACGAACCUACAGGUAGCUGCAAAUCUGAGAUGUGCCCAGGUGUUCCAUGCUGACGGCCUCCUUGUCUCCUGCAGAAUCCAGGUGGGCAUUUUUUACCUGCUCCCAAUGCAAGGUCUGUCUGUGAGCAUCUGUCAAUUCUUUUAAAGUCCUACAAUUGAAAGAUGAAGAGCCGGGCUGUGCAGUGUGUGGUCUGGAGGGAGCCUGGCACCCUCUCUCCAGCUGCAGGGUGAGGUGUAGGACUUAGAGGGAAGCCAGGAGAUGGCUCUGCUGGGGAUGGUCAGGCUGUGGCCCCAGCAGCACUUGGCAGGGAUGUUUGGAUGGCUUAGUCCUGUUGGAGCCUUUUGCCCAUUUCCAUUAGAAACGGGGACUUCAAGUCUACGUUGGUGCAUGAAGUUCAUGCCAAUGCACCCUGACAUUUCUUCUCAUCUCCUGGCACAAACUUGGCCCGUUUUGUACCCAGACAGGCACGUUUGAGGGCCUGUUUCCUUUGGCAUGAAACUGGGGACACAUGUGAGGAGAGGGGGGACCAGAUUCUAGGCUGUUCCUGUCCUAGCAUUGCAGGAUUGAAGAGAAAGUGAAUCUCACUAGCCAGCAAAGCAGAGGGUUUCAGAGGCAUGCGGCCGGGGUGCCAGUCCCAACUCCACCACGCUGUGUGACCCUGGGCCUGUGACUUCCCUCCCCUAUGCCCCAGUCUCCUCACCCCUAAACUUGCGGGUACAGCACCACCUACCUCGUGGGCUUUGGGGAAAGAUUUGAUGAGUUGGCACCUGCAAAGCAUAGGUCCUGGUGUGUGCUUCACACUGAAUGGGUGUGCUGUGUGUUUAAUGUCUACACAUGCUGUGUGUGCUUAUAUCACUGUUUUUCUGCAUCCCAGUGCAAUGUACUUUACCAGCAUUGGCUCAGUUCACCCUCUUUGCGCACUGUCAAGUUGGCUCUGCUUUACAGAUGGGGAAACUGAGGCUCAGAGACCUAAACGAGCAAGCCGAAAGCCACACAGCUAGUAAACGGUUGUGUGAUGUCAGUCUGCUGUGUCAAGCUGUGGCAGUGGCCCUGCCCCCAUGUCAUCCCCCCAGAGGAGCAGCCAUCAUCACCGGCCUCCUCCUCUGAUUUGUGUUCACCCUGCUUCCUGGCUCCCAAGACGUGUUCCAGGGGACUUUCCUGAGUCAUUGGGUCAUUGAAGAGAAGAAAAACAUUCAGCUGGACGCCUCCCACUCCCACUCCUGGCCCGCUUGACAUGCACACACAGGCACACACACAGA
rnacentral:lncRNA from 1 species